UUUCAUGAGAGUUUGAUCCUGGCUCAGGACGAACGCUGGCGGCGUGCCUAAUACAUGCAAGUCGAGCGAACCGACGAAGUGCUUGC
rnacentral:rRNA from 1 species